rnacentral:lncRNA from 1 species
AGCGGCUCAGCUGUCAGGGGGAGGGGGGGGACAAAGCAGCAUGACGGCAAUCCAGCAACGCCAGAGACCCCCAGGCCACCCCCCAGCCCCCCUGGAAAAGGGGCUUCAUGUAGAAGAGAGAAAGUAGGACCUGCAAUCCUACAACUCCGCAGCUCCUAGCCCUGCAGCUCUCCAGGAUGCCAGGGAGUGCAGAGGAAUAGCGGCACCACCCAGCUCUUACCUGCAGGGAUGGCUUCGUCUCGGAGCACAGGGAACAGCGUGCUCCACACCACCACAUCCGCUACCGACUCAGUGUCCUGCAGCACAAAGGAGUGGAGCUGUGCCCCAAGGUGGCCCCGGCUCCGCGCUGCGUUCCCCACAAACGCAUGGGACAGCCCCACUCACCCCGGCCAGGUACGCCGUGCCUCUCCCCACCAAGCUCCGCUCGAUGUGGCCCAGCGGUUCCCCCAGCGCCUCCACGCCCGUUCGGCCGUGCACCAGGUGGGCAUACAGGGCCGCCAGCGCGGCAGGCUGCAGCUCGGUGGCCUCCCACUCCAGCCAUUGGGUGGUCAGGUCGGUGGGCUGCUCGCCGCGCCGCAGGAAGAAGUACUGGCAGAUGGCAUUGGGGGAGAAGAGCACCGCGCCGCUCUCCAGCUGCAGGGCGGGGGCCCAUGGGGGACACAGCGGGGACGGCGGCGGCUCUCCGGGCUCGGCCCAGCAGAGCUGCACCGGAGCGCCGGCGCAGUGUGCGGCCGCCACCACCUUCAGCGCCGCGGGACUGCCUGCCGCCACCCGCAGCCGCAUGGCUCCGCGCUGAUGCAACCC